rnacentral:lncRNA from 1 species
CUCUAAGUUUCCUCUUGAAGGAUCCCUAAUAUGCAUAAGUGGAUCAUUCAGCAAAACUUUAUGUAAGUCAAAACAUAUGUAUGUUGAAACAUAUAUUAAAUACUAUUAAUAUGCCACAAGAAUGUAACACUAAAAGUAGUAUGUUAAACAAUAAGCUCAUAAUUUGCAUGAUAAAGCAAUUGCCUUACCAUCAUGGAGGAUCUGUAUUCAAUUCUGAGUCCCAUACCUUCAGUUUUUCUGGAGGUGUUCUGGAUUUGGGCCUGGCUUGUUAUCUAAAAAUAAUUGGGGAUUAAUCAGGGAAAAAUCUUAAAAUUAUCAGGC